AUUGAACGCUGGCGGCAGGCCUAACACAUGCGAGUCGAAUGGUAACAGGAAACAGCUUGCUGUUUCGCUGACGAGUGGCGGACGGGUGAGUAAUGUCUGGGAAACUGUCUGAUGGAGGGGGAUAACUACUGGAAACGGUAGCUAAUACCGCAUAACGUCGCAAGACCAAAGAGGGGGACCUUCGGGCCUCUUGCCAUCAGAUGUGCCCAGAUGGGAUUAGCUAGUAGGUGGGGUAACGGCUCACCUAGGCGACGAUCCCUAGCUGGUCUGAGAGGAUGACCAGCCACACUGGAACUGAGACACGGUCCAGACUCCUACGGGAGGCAGCAGUGGGGAAUAUUGCACAAUGGGCGCAAGCCUGAUGCAGCCAUGCCGCGUGUAUGAAGAAGGCCUUCGGGUUGUAAAGUACUUUCAGCGGGGAGGAAGGGAGUAAAGUUAAUACCUUUGCUCAUUGACGUUACCCGCAGAAGAAGCACCGGCUAACUCCGUG
rnacentral:rRNA from 1 species